CCCAGCCAUCUCCCUGGUGGCCGACCUCGCCCCUGCCCCAGCCACAGCUCCCCCUUCGGCCCUGCUGCUGCAAGCACUCAGCCUCUCCCAUGGCACACGCCCCAUCUGCAACACCGUCGACCCCCGACGAGAAAUCCCAUGAUUUGGGGGAAGACGAAGUCCAAGCACAACCCCUGCCAAUCGCUCGAUGAAAAAUCUAAACCAAAACCCUCAGCGUUUUCAUGGGUUCCGGUGGGAUUUUAUGUUGGUAAGGUAAUUUGUGUCCUAAUUAGUUCACUCAGUUAUUGAGUUGAAGAGAUUGUUAGCUGUAUGAGUUGAACCAGUUAUUGUAUAUGAAUUGUACGAUAUCAAGGUAGUUCUAAUGUUCUUUUAACAUCUUGCUAAUAAGGUGUUAGAGUAUUCUAAAUGCCAAACAUAGGAUAAUUUUACAAGCCAAAUAGAAGUUAAAUUGAAGGUAUUGCUGUUUAGGGCUGUAGGUAUAGUUUUAGUUAUGCAGCUAGUCCAAUAAAGUAGAUCAUGUUUUCUGUAGAAGCGUUAUAUAUAAAAUUUGUAGAUAAUCUCUUUAUAUUACUUGUGUAAAAAUUUCAUGACCAUAGGUGUAGUAGUUUAGGAGUUAUGAUUUUUCCAAGUCCAGUCUCAGAAUCUGUCCAAAUUCUAUACAGGUUUCGAAAAUUGGAUUGUUUGGCUAAGCUAAACUGAGAAUCAGCCCUUAGUAAUUGUAGAAUAAUUGUAGUACUUUUCUUAAGCUUUCCAACAAAUUUUGGAGCACCCUUUUUGGUGGUCUAGAGAUCAAGUUACAGCUGUUUGAACUAUAGAGUCUGAAUCUGUCCAAAUCUGGACAGCGAAGUCUGUUUGUAGUAACUGACUUUGAUAUGUAUUGAAUUAACCUGAGAUGUUUAUAAAUGAAUUGUAGACAAUUCUAUUAACUUUCUAAAAAGUCUAGGAUCACCUGAUUUGGAUUUCGGAAACUCCAGUUCUGGACUUUUGAAGUAGUUAGUCGAAUUCUGUCCAAAUCUGGACAGAAUUUAUGUUUAGCGCUGUUUGACCUUUCUAAAGGUCGAAUCUUGUUGUGAUGGUAAUACAAAAGUUAUAGAGGACUUUAUAAGCUUUCCAAAAAGUUCUAGUUUACUAUUUUUGGAUACAUAUUUUAUGAAUUGUGAGCUAAACAGAUAGUUGCUGACUUGCUGUUCUGCUGUCCAAACACAUGUCUACUGUCUGAAAAUAGCUCAUUUUGUAGUUACAUUUGCAUCAGGCUUUGAUGAUUGCUGUACAAGGAUGAUAUGGACUCCCGCCCAAAGCUGUUUGGUAUUCAGAAGCAGGUUUUGGCGCUGUACAGGGGAUUCCUUCGGACAGCACGCCUUAAGGCCCCUGAAGAACGCCGCAGGAUCGAGUCUGUUAUCUUGGCAGAGUUCCGUGACAACGCAAGGAGUGUUGACCGUAGGAACUUUGUACACAUAGAGUACUUGUUGAGGAGAGGGAAGAAGCAGCUUGAGCAGCUCAAGAAUCCUGAUAUUACUAGACUCGCUACCCUUGUAGUAAAGAAUGAGCAAGAGAAGAAGGAAGACAAGUCAGACAAAACAGAAGACGAGAAGAGGUUCCUACCAUAACACUUAAGCAAGGAAUCCUGUACACUUCUCUCCUGGGGUUGUGACUUGUAAAUUGUCAAGGAUCACUUGGAUGUGGUAAAUGCUAUACUGGACACUGAUGAUAGCUGCAUAAGGAUUGUGCG